AGAGUUUGAUCAUGGCUCAGGAUGAACGCUAGCGGCAGGCUUAACACAUGCAAGUCGAGGGGCAGCGCGGGUAGCAAUACCUGGCGGCGACCGGCAAACGGGUGCGGAACACGUACAGAACCUACCUUUGUCUGGGGCAUAGCCCGGAGAAAUCCGGAUUAACUCCCCAUAAUAUAGAUGAGUGGCAUCACUUGACUAUUAAAAAUUUAUUGGACAGAGAUGGCUGUGCGUCCCAUUAGCUAGUUGGUAGGGUAACGGCCUACCAAGGCAACGAUGGGUAGCUGGUGUGAGAGCACGACCAGCCACACGGGCACUGAGACACGGGCCCGACUCCUACGGGAGGCAGCAGUGAGGAAUAUUGGUCAAUGGACGCAAGUCUGAACCAGCCAUGCCGCGUGAAGGAUGAAGGCCUUCUGGGUUGUAAACUUCUUUUACCUGGGAAGAAAAGUAUGGUCUCUACUAUACCCGACGGUACCAGAGGAAUAAGCACCGGCUAACUCCGUGCCAGCAGCCGCGGUAAUACGGAGGGUGCAAGCGUUAUCCGGAUUUACUGGGUUUAAAGGGUGUGUAGGCGGGCUUUCAAGUCAGUGGUGAAAUCUCCGGGCCCAACCCGGAAACUGCCAUUGAUACUAUUAGUCUUGAAUUCUGUUGAGGUAGGCGGAAUAAGUCAUGUAGCGGUGAAAUGCUUAGAUAUGACUUAGAACACCAAUUGCGAAGGCAGCUUGCUAAACAGAUAUUGACGCUGAGGCACGAAAGCGUGGGGAUCAAACAGGAUUAGAUACCCUGGUAGUCCACGCCCUAAACGAUGUCAACUGGGUGUUGGGGAAGCGAUUCCUUGGUACCGUAGCUAACGCGUGAAGUUGACCGCCUGGGGAGUACGGCCGCAAGGUUAAAACUCAAAGGAAUUGACGG
rnacentral:rRNA from 1 species